AAGGAUUGUAUUUAAUUAUAAUAUUUAAUUUGCAAUUAAAAGGUGUCUAAGGAUCAAUCUUU
rnacentral:tRNA from 1 species